rnacentral:rRNA from 1 species
CCUACGGGCGGCAGCAGUGGGGAAUAUUGCACAAUGGGGGAAACCCUGAUGCAGCGACGCCGCGUGAGUGAAGAAGUAUCUCGGUACGUAAAGCUCUAUCAGCAGGGAAGAAAAUGACGGUACCUGACUAAGAAGCCCCAGCUAACUACGUGCCAGCAGCCGCGGUAAUACGUAGGGGGCAAGCGUUAUCCGGAUUUACUGGGUGUAAAGGGAGCGUAGACGGGAGCACAAGUCUGGAGUGAAAUCCCGGGGCUUAACCCCGGCACUGCUUUGGAAACUGUGCGGCUGGAGUGCAGGAGGGGUAAGCGGAAUUCCUAGUGUAGCGGUGAAAUGCGUAGAUAUUAGGAGGAACACCGGUGGCGAAGGCGGCUUACUGGACGGUAACUGACGUUGAGGCGCGAAAGCGUGGGGAGCAAACAGGAUUAGAUACCCGGGUAGUC